rnacentral:rRNA from 1 species
ACGCCUGCCCGGGGCUGGAAGGUUAAGGGGAUCUGUUAGAGCAAUCGAAGCAGUGAACUUAAGCCCCAGUAAACGGCGGCCGUAACUAUAACGGUCCUAAGGUAGCGAAAUUCCUUGUCGGGUAAGUGCCGACCCGCACGAAAGGCGUAACGAUUUGGGCACUGUCUCAACAACAGACUCGGUGAAAUUGUAAUUCCGGUGAAGAUGCCGGAUACCUGCGACAGGACGGAAAGACCCCAUGGAGCUUUACUGUAGCUUGACAUU